UUUUGACUGACUUGUAAAGUUCAUGCAAGGUCUUUGGUGGGACUGUUAAGGAGAGAAAAAUGAGCACCCCCUGAGACAGCACCUGAGCAUUCUGAGGACACAUUGCUGGAUAGGGACACAGCUGUUUCCUGAGCCCAAUCCUCCAGACAGGGACAGCUUGCUCAGCCUGAUCAGAUACAUGCAGAGAAGAUCAGCAAAAAGGCCCUGGAAGAGGAGCAGAACAAAAGCACAGUGCUUGCUCUCAUUUAAAGAAGUCAGACAAACAUGAGAUGAGGCAUUGAGUAGAAAAUAAACUGUCCACUGAGGAAAAGAAAGAAGCUGCCCUGAUGGAGAAGGGACUGACAAGUACCA